ACACAUGCAAGUCGAGCGGUAAGGCCUUUCGGGGUACACGAGCGGCGAACGGGUGAGUAACACGUGGGUGAUCUGCCCUGCACUUCGGGAUAAGCCUGGGAAACUGGGUCUAAUACCGGAUAUGACCUCCUAUCGCAUGGCGGGUGGUGGAAAGAUUUAUCGGUGCAGGAUGGGCCCGCGGCCUAUCAGCUUGUUGGUGGGGUAAUGGCCUACCAAGGCGACGACGGGUAGCCGACCUGAGAGGGUGACCGGCCACACUGGGACUGAGACACGGCCCAGACUCCUACGGGAGGCAGCAGUGGGGAAUAUUGCACAAUGGGCGAAAGCCUGAUGCAGCGACGCCGCGUGAGGGAUGACGGCCUUCGGGUUGUAAACCUCUUUCAGCAGGGACGAAGCGCAAGUGACGGUACCUGCAGAAGAAGCACCGGCUAACUACGUGCCAGCAGCCGCGGUAAUACGUAGGGUGCAAGCGUUGUCCGGAAUUACUGGGCGUAAAGAGUUCGUAGGCGGUUUGUCGCGUCGUUUGUGAAAACCAGCAGCUCAACUGCUGGCUUGCAGGCGAUACGGGCAGACUUGAGUACUGCAGGGGAGACUGGAAUUCCUGGUGUAGCGGUGAAAUGCGCAGAUAUCAGGAGGAACACCGGUGGCGAAGGCGGGUCUCUGGGCAGUAACUGACGCUGAGGAACGAAAGCGUGGGUAGCGAACAGGAUUAGAUACCCUGGUAGUCCACGCCGUAAACGGUGGGCGCUAGGUGUGGGUUCCUUCCACGGAANUCCGUGCCGUAGCUAACGCAUUAAGCGCCCCGCCCUGGGGAGUACGGGCCGCAAGGCUAAAU
rnacentral:rRNA from 1 species